UCAUCCUUUCAGGGAAACUUAGGCCUUUCACGUCAGCUGAGUGGAUCUCUUGUUACUGCAGAAAAACACCACUGACAGGACAACAGUGACACAGAUGUAUCAUUGUUGACAUAGUUGUAGUUUUUUGUGUGUUGGCUCAUUUCUAUGGUACAUCUUUUAUAGUGUUUGAUAGUUACCUAGUUCACCUCAUUUUCAUAUUUACAGAAGUAAAAAUUGUUAGAAUAAAAAUGUACAUAAGUUAUCCCAUUUAUGUUUUGUUCUUAGUAGCCUUUAAAGUACACAGCAAUGCUGUGUGUAUAUGUGUGUUAUUAAACUUGUGUCUGUGAGAUUAACAGGAACGCACCCUGCCAUACCGACAGGGCAGGCUGACACCGCACCAGAUGGUCUCAUGAGUUGUGGCUGCCAUCAAGGCCACUCUCACGAGAUAGACCUGACAACAUCACUUUGUUUUCUUUUCUUAUUGUAGCAGUAUAUACUUCCCCCACCCUUUAGAAAACUAUGUAACAGGGAAUCUCCUAAACUGAAUAAAAAAGAGGAGGCUGCAUGGAUGCACUUCAGAGUAUCUUGAACCUGACAUUAACUUGGUCCUUCGAGCCGGAUUCCAACAUAUCCAGAGUUUCCAGUGGACACGGAGGAUUCCAGGGAAGACUGUGCACAGCGGCCCCCUAGGUGGGCUCCUAAGAUCCUUUUGAGAGGAACUGGAUUUCCUCCUCGUUGGCUGGAAACCGAGGAUUGACGGAAUCUGGAGGAGUUAGACGAAAGGCUGAGGACGGCGGAGUCCUGUCGCUGACUUAAAUUCCGUGAGUAGGUUUUAAGUUAAAAACCUGUGUGACUGCGGCUGUUUAGCGCGUCAAAAGAAAACCUUUGUGACUGCGGCUGUUUAGCGCGUAAAAAGAAAAGCCCUGAGGAUUCUAGACCCUAUCAGGCAAGAGAAUAAUUUGGGUGGGACGGUGGAAUCCCCUUUUAGUGAGACUAAAAGUUAAAACUCCAUGGUAAAUUAGUAGGCCUCAAAAGUGUGCGAAAAAGACGUCUGUAAAUAAGUAAAUAGGAGUGUGGAUGAUUGUGUGAGUGAACGGAGACAGAAAUACCAUUUGGUAUUUUUUCUUCUCAUACCAAAGCAGUGGGAAAGACAGCAAUAAACCUUACAGGAAGCAAAGGCAAGAAUUCUCCACUCGAAAGAGUUGAAGUGAGAAUUACCUGGAAAGGUAUUUUAAUUAUUGCCCCACUGAUAACAUCCCAACGUUUAGAACACCCUAGGUGUUAACCCAGCGUUGGACCAAAAUACAUAAAAAACAGCUCCAGUAUGGGCAAGAGUCAGAGUAAGCCCAAAACUAGGGAGGAUUUACAGUGUAAAGAUUGGAAGUAUAUAGAAAAACAGGAUCCUGAUAAAAUAAAAUAUUUGGAUAAAUGGGUAAAAGAUUACGGGUUUAAUGGUAAACUAAACGUCAAGACAAUUAAGCUACUACAGGAAACAAUACAA